ACGAACGCUGGCGGCAUGCCUAACACCUGCAAGUCGAACGAGACCUUCGGGUCUAGUUGCGCACGGGUGCGUAACGCGUGGGAACCUGCCCUUAGGUUCGGAAUAACUCCCCGAAAGGGGUGCUAAUACCGGAUAAUGUCUUCGGACCAAAGAUUUAUCGCCUUUGGAUGGGCCCGCGUUGGAUUAGCUAGUUGGUAGGGUAAAAGCCUACCAAGGCGACGAUCCAUAGCUGGUCUGAGAGGAUGAUCAGCCACACUGGGACUGAGACACGGCCCAGACUCCUACGGGAGGCAGCAGUGGGGAAUAUUGGACAAUGGGCGAAAGCCUGAUCCAGCAAUGCCGCGUGAGUGAUGAAGGCCUUAGGGUUGUAAAGCUCUUUUACCCGGGAUGAUAAUGACAGUACCGGGAGAAUAAGCUCCGGCUAACUCCGUG
rnacentral:rRNA from 1 species